GGCAUCUUGUAGUGGCAUGAGCGAUGGAGAUGAGUCGGCAAGGUAUCCAGGAUUUGUAAACAAGCCUAGCAUGAAAGAAAGAAUAAACAUCAAUGCAGUCCAUAUCCUGUCUGCAGUAAAAUGGUAGUCGGGCUUCGUUUGGAGUAAACUGGCAAAAGAAAAUUCCCUUCUCAUAAAAGAAUCAGCAUCAAAAUUACCUAGAGAGAGAGAGAGAGAGAGAGAGAUUUUGUCAGAAUCCAGAUCCAAAAAAAAUCAUUGCUUCUGAAGCCAGAAACGAAAGGAGGAAGAACAGACCGAGAAAGACAAUCCUGGUGAGAAAGACGAUCAGCAUGUGCUGAUUUAGAUGUCAUGACUGUAGGUGUGGCAUCUCGUCGCGCAAGAGUAGGAAACAGCGACAACCGGCGGAGCAGAUCGGAGGCGACUCUGCCAACCUUAAACAUGGAUCGUGAGAGGGUGGGCAUAUCAACCACUUUGGGAUGGGAUUUGCCUGGGCACUGGGCGGCGGCAGUCGGGGCGGUGGGGAAGGCGCUCUUCCGCGGCCGACUAAUCGCUGGGCGGAGGGGUCUCCCGGAGGGAGGGAACCGGAAGAUCCUCUGACAUAGUUGGACGUCAACCUCCCUGCAGCUUCAGAUUCACGAUCGAUGGUGAUGGUGCGUGAGAUUAAGAGAACAAAAACAAGAGCCUACGGCCCAUUAGACAGCCAUUAACUUAAACAGCUCAGCCCGGCGCUUGGCAUCCGCAUCAGAAACAAAUUCUGGAUCACAGCCAUUUUCGUUAUCACUGGCCAGUGGCCACAACAUGUAUCCGAUCAAAGUUGCGUGCGUGCUCGUUGUAACCGGAUACCCAGUGAAAUCCGAGACGAAUUCUUCAGCAGACGCCUGCUAAGCUAACUGCGGUCAGUUUCUUCU